UGGGCUACACACACGCUACAAUGGCCAACACGAAUAGGUUGCUAAGCCGCGAGGUGGCGCCAAUCCAUAAAGUUGGUCUCAGUUCAGAUUGUAGGCUGCAACCCGCCUGCAUGAAGAUGGAGUUGCUAGUAACCGCAGGUCAGCAUACUGCGGUGAAUACGUUCCCGGGCCUU
rnacentral:rRNA from 1 species